rnacentral:rRNA from 1 species
AUGGCUCAGGACGAACGCUGGCGGCGUGCCUAACACAUGCAAGUCGAGCGAGGAGAUUCCUUCGGGAUGAUCCUAGCGGCGGACGGGUGAGUAACACGUGGGCAACCUGCCUCAUAGAGAGGAAUAGCCUUCCGAAAGGGAGAUUAAUACCUCAUAACAUUGCAGUUUCGCAUGGAACAGCAAUUAAAGGAGUAAUCCGCUAUGAGAUGGGCCCGCGGCGCAUUAGCUAGUUGGUGAGGUAACGGCUCACCAAGGCGACGAUGCGUAGCCGACCUGAGAGGGUGAUCGGCCACAUUGGGACUGAGACACGGCCCAGACUCCUACGGGAGGCAGCAGGUGGGGAAUAUUGCACAAUGGGGGAAACCCUGAUGCCAGCAACGCCGCGUGAGUGAUGACGGCCUUCGGGUUGUAAAGCUCUGUCUUCAGGGACGAUAAUGACGGUACCUGAGGAGGAAGCCACGGCUAACUACGUGCCAGCCGCCGC